CAAUUGWCUCUCGGCAACGGAUAUCUCGGCUCACGCAUCGAUGAAGAACGUAGCAAAAUGCGAUACUUGGUGUGAAUUGCAGAAUCCCGUGAACCAUCGAGUUUUUGAACGCAAGUUGCGCCCGAAGCCUUUUGGCCGAGGGCACGUCUGCCUGGGCGUCACAC
rnacentral:rRNA from 1 species